UUUCUAUGGCUGCAAACAUAGUAAUUCAUGAAUGAAUGGAACAAAGUCAGACUCCUUCUGCGUGAUUCCUGAAGCUGAUAGCAAAAUCAACCAUGAAGGAGCAUCGACAGAAAAGCUGCUUCAUUCUAACCUUAUUGGGAAAAACUUCUUUGCACCAAUUAGAGAGAUUACAGUGCUCAGAGUGAUGCAGAGAACUAAAUGAUCAGGCAGAUACACUAACUGGAUGUCACUUAAUCAGACAAGAGGAAGCAGAACCCACAGCGAGUGGAAAAAGCUCCAUGGGAUGAGCAUCAGCUCACGCAUUAAUUUCCUUUUAUUCCUAUAUUCACAUCUUCUGUGGCCUUCCCUCCAGCCUCUGCCCAUGACCAGCUCUGGCAUGCACGAGUCCCUCCUGUGCUGGGUGGAAGGAGCUCUCGGUGCGUGGCUGUGUGCCCAGGAUGCUGCAGUUGUGCAUGGGCUCAUUGGGCUGCAGCACAGUAGUGAAAAUAGUGACAUGUUAGGAGGAACAACGUGGGUUCUUGUUUUCAGCUUCACUCACUGCAAAUCUCUGCAGGGCAUGUCAUGGGAAAACUGGCACGUCAUUGAAGACACAGAAAGAAAGAAUGCCAGAAGAGAGGUGAAAAAUAGAAAAGCCUAAGCAUCACCUCUGCUCAGAUGUAAGACCUUGGAAUAAUAGCUGUGCUAAGUUUUAUAGAAGUCAUUAAAAACCCUUUGUGAUACUUGAACUCUGCUACUGAAAAAUAGUUGUUUCCACCCAGAGCUAAUAAAUAGAUGUUUGAAGCACAAGCUGAGCUAAUGCGAAUUCAUGCUCAACUGUGCGUGUCGUGUUUGGAUGUAAACACCCUUUUCACAUUGUGCCAUACCACCCCAGUGCUGCUGUGCUUUUCAUGCAUCUCUGUGGUAUUUACAUCUCAGCUAUCAUUUGAUAGCUUAAAAUGCCUGUACUAAAAUCCUUUCAAUUGAAACUGCCUUUCAAUUGGGUUGAAGAUGUCAAAGUACAUCUGUGUAGUCCAGUUUAAGUUUCAUGAUUGAACAACUUGCUCUGAAAUUGCAGCUUUCUUUCCUAAACAAAGCUAAAAAGAUUUUUUCCUGCCUUGUAUUGUAGGUAAUAUUUGAAGAAAGAAAGAAGGAAAAAAAUGCCAGACCCAAGCUUUGCUCAUCUGGGGAUCCUGCGUGGGAUGUAAUCCAGCCCUGCAUCAGGACACACCUUCUGCACUGCAACCAGCACCAGCACUGAAGAGCAACUCGAGCAGCCUCAGAGGAGAUGAUACACACUGGGUUUCCAUCUCCCCAUCCAUGCAGACGUGUCGCCGUCGUUGCUGUGCAGCCAGCAGGGACAGGACGUGGUGUGUCUGACAGCCUUGGGGAUGAGGAUAUCCAAUUCUGAGUGACUUGUGAUCUGCUGGGACCUUAUGAGAUAUUGGUGGUGACGUGCUAUCAUUGAAACCUCUGCAAGAAGCUGAUGCUUCAGGAAUCCUAAGCAUCACCAGUCGAAACAAAUGUUUGAACUUGCAAGCUGGGAAGGGAGAAAGCAGUUUCCUUUUGAUCUUACUCCAGUUCACAGACUGGAAAAGUGGAGAAACACCUGCUUCUUGCAGAGGACCUGCUAAGGAAGUCCAAAGGAAACUGCAUACGGGGGAAGCACAUGCCAAGUGAAACAGAACCCUGUGGGUCACUGUAAUGCUGGUCCAGGUUUCAGCGAGCACUCCAUGGAUGCAGUGUUAAGAAUCUCUGCUGCUGGGGCCACAGAGUGUGAGGAAAGUUCCAAAGACUGCAGUCCACUGGGCUCUUGGGGUUUUACUGAACAGUGGGGAUAAGUGGUCUCCUCCCAGGGUCAGAUCACACCAGGAGCCAAGGGGAAGUGAAGGGAGAAAGGGGGCCUUCUAUUUCUCCAAAUACCUUCCAAUUGCACAACUGAUUGAUUAUAAGUAUAGUCUAAAAUGGAGGGUAAUGCUAAAGAGAUAUUAACAGCUAGGAAAUGAACAAACUGACAGUUUAUGUCACACAGGUGAUAGUUCCUGUUUCUUACUGAAUGCUUUCAAUAAAGCACAGGCAGAGAGAAACGAUGCUGGACCAUCUUAAUUCAAAAGAGGAAAGACACAGACAGUCCUAUUGUCAGAGCCUUCAUUCAAGUCCAUUGAAGGAGCUGGAAGCAUCACCGAAGACAGAAGGACUUCAAGGAUUACCUGCCUCUUUCCUCACCAGUUGCUAUAAAGAAAAAGUCUACGUUCUCAAAUGGUUACUUGUCUGCUAUUAGACCCUGCUCAACGGUCACAUUUCCCACAACUUUAUUUCAGAGAGUCCUGUACUGACCGUGUUCACCCCUCCCAGUAUUUCUUCCACACACUCUGGGUUGUUUAUCCAUACUUGCAUGCAAAUAUCCCAUCUAAUUUUGUUCUUUCAAAAUGCCGUUUAAAUACAGCUUUUCAGUGAAACAGCCUGUUUCAAUUUAUCUUAGUUGAAAGUAGGGCUAUAAAUCUCUUCGGUUUAUUUUAUUGAUCUCAGACAAAAUUACAAAUAUAAAUUACAGCUGCUGCAAAUUAAAUGUUCUAAUGACUGAAACAAA